AUUCCAGCUCCAAUAGCGUAUAUUAAUGUUAUUGCAGUUAAAGAGCUCGUAGUUGGAUUUCUGGUCGGGACGUCUGGCCGGCUCCGCAAGGGGUCGUUGCAUUGACUGUACUCGUCCAUCCUCAGGUUGACUAGCUCUGGUAUUUAUUUAUCGGUGUUAGAACGCCUGUCGUUUACUGUGAACAAAUUAGAGUGUUCAAAGCAAGGUGUACUUGAAUACAUUAGCAUGGAAUAAUAAGAUAGGACUUUGGUGGUUCUUUUUGAUAUUUUGUUGGUUUGCACGCCAAAGUAAUGAUUAAUAGGAGCAGUUGGGGGUAUUCGUAUUCAAUUGUCAGAGGUGAAAUUCUUGGAUUUAUAGAAGACGAACUACUGCGAAAGCAUUUACCAAGGAUGUUUUCAUUA
rnacentral:rRNA from 1 species